rnacentral:rRNA from 1 species
GGAGUUUGGGCCGUGUCUCAGUCCCAAUGUGGCCGAUUGCCCUCUCAGGCCGGCUAUUGAUCGUUGACUUGGUGAGCCGUUACCUCACCAACUAUCUAAUCAAACGCGGGUCCAUCGUAUGCCGAUAAAUCUUUUCACACUGUAUCAUGCAAUACCGUGCGCUUAUGCGGUAUUAGCAGUCGUUUCCAACUGUUGUCCCCCUGCAUACGGCAGGUUACCCACGCGUUACUCACCCGUCCGCCACUAAGUUUACUCAAGAUUCUGCCGAAGCUUCAUCAGCGAGUAAACUCCGUUCGACUUGCAUGUGUUAGGCACGCCGCCAGCGUUCAUC